UAGGGAAUCUUCGGCAAUGGACGGAAGUCUGACCGAGCAACGCCGCGUGAGUGAAGAAGGUUUUCGGAUCGUAAAGCUCUGUUGUUAGAGAAGAACGUUGGUAGGAGUGGAAAAUCUACCAAGUGACGGUAACUAACCAGAAAGGGACGGCUAACUACGUGCCAGCAGCCGCGGUAAUACGUAGGUCCCGAGCGUUGUCCGGAUUUAUUGGGCGUAAAGCGAGCGCAGGCGGUUCUUUAAGUCUGAAGUUAAAGGCAGUGGCUUAACCAUUGUAAGCUUUGGUAACUGAAGGACUUGAGUGCAGAAGGGGAGAGUGGAAUUCCAGGUGUAGCGGUGAAAUGCGUAGAUAUAUGGAGGAACACCGGUAGCGAAGGCGGCUCUCUGGUCUGUAACUGACGCUGAGGCUCGAAAGCGUGGGGAGCAAACAGG
rnacentral:rRNA from 1 species